rnacentral:snRNA from 1 species
UUAGUUCCCGCUUCGGCCAUAAAUAUACUAAAACUGGGACUAUACCGAGGAGAUUAGCAGAGCCCCUAUGCAAAGACAACACGCAAAAUCGUGAAGUGUAAGGCACCACG